rnacentral:rRNA from 1 species
GGUAAGAGCGCACCAAGGCGACGAUCAGUAGCUGGUCUGAGAGGAUGAUCAGCCACACUGGGACUGAGACACCCCCCAGACUCCUACGGGAGGCCUCAGUGGGGAAUUUUCCGCAAUGGGCGAAAGCCUGACGGAGCAAUACCGCGUGAGGGAGGAAGGCUCUUGGGUUGUAAACCUCUUUUCUCAGGGAAUAAGGGAAUGAAGGUACCUGAGGAAUAAGCAUCGGCUAACUCCGUGCCAGCAGCCGCGGUAAUACGGAGGAUGCAAGCGUUAUCCGGAAUGAUUGGGCGUAAAGCGUCCGCCUGUGGCCUGUAAGUCUGCUGUUAAAGAGCAAGGCUCAACCUUGUAAAGGAUGUGGAAACUACGGAGCUAGAGUACGUACGAUACAAAAG